AUUGAACGCUGGCGGCAGGCCUAACACAUGCAAGUCGAACGAGUGGCGGACGGGUGAGUAAUGUCUGGGAAACUGCCCGAUGGAGGGGUAUAACUACUGGAAACGGUAGCUAAUACCGCAUACCAUCGGAGGUGCCCAGAUGGGAUUAGCUAGUUGGUGGGGUAAGGGCUCACCUAGGCGACGAUCCCUAGCUGGUCUGAGAGGGGGACCAGCCACACUGGAACUGAGACACGGUCCAGACUCCUACGGGAGGCAGCAGUGGGUAAUAUUGCACAAUGGGCGCAAGCCUGAUGCAGCCAUGCCGCGUGUAUGAAGAAGGCCUUCGGGUUGUAAAGUACUUUCAGCGAGGAGGCGUUACUCGCAGAAGAAGCACCGGCUAACUCCGUGCCAGCAGCCGCGGUAAUAC
rnacentral:rRNA from 1 species